rnacentral:rRNA from 1 species
GACGAACGCUGGCGGCGUGCCUAAUACAUGCAAGUAGAACGCACAGUUUAUACCGUAGCUUGCUACACCAUAGACUGUGAGUUGCGAACGGGUGAGUAACGCGUAGGUAACCUGCCUGGUAGCGGGGGAUAACUAUUGGAAACGAUAGCUAAUACCGCAUAAUAUUGAUUAUUGCAUGAUAAUUGAUUGAAAGAUGCUAUUGCAUCACUACCAGAUGGACCUGCGUUGUAUUAGCUAGUAGGUGAGGUAACGGCUAACCUAGGCGACGAUACAUAUCCGACCUGGGGAGGGGGAUCGCCACACUGGGACGUGGACACGGCCCAGACUCCUACGGGGAGCAGCAGUAGGGAACCUUCGGCAAUGGACGAAAGUCUGACCGAGCAACGCCGGGGGGGGGAAGAAGGUUUUCGGAUCGUAAAGCUCUGUUGUAAGGGAAGAACGGGUGGGAGAGUGGAAAGUUCACACUGUGACGGUAUCUUACCAGAAAGGGACGGCUAACUACGUG